rnacentral:rRNA from 2 species
UACGGAGGGUGCAAGCGUUGUUCGGAAUUAUUGGGCGUAAAGGGCGCGUAGGCGGUUGUGAAAGUCAGAUGUGAAAUACUUCGGCUCAACUGAAGAACUGCAUCUGAAACUUCAUAACUCGAGUACAGGAGAGGGAAACGGAAUUCCCGGUGUAGAGGUGAAAUUCGUAGAUAUCGGGAGGAACACCAGUGGCGAAGGCGGUUUCCUGGCCUGAUACUGACGCUGAGGCGCGAAAGCGUGGGGAGCAAACAGGAUUAGAUACCCUGGUAGUCCACGCUGUAAACGGUGAAUACUAGGUGUGGGAGGUGUAAUACCUUCUGUGCCGAAGCUAACGCGUUAAGUAUUCCGCCUGGGAAGUACGGCCGCAAGGUUGAA